rnacentral:rRNA from 1 species
CCUACGGGUGGCAGCAGUGGGGAAUAUUGGACAAUGGGGGCAACCCUGAUCCAGCCAUGCCGCGUGUGUGAAGAAGGCCCUCGGGUUGUAAAGCACUUUCAGUGAGGAAGAACGCCUGGUGGUUAAUACCCAUCAGGAAAGACAUCACUCACAGAAGAAGCACCGGCUAACUCCGUGCCAGCAGCCGCGGUAAUACGGAGGGUGCGAGCGUUAAUCGGAAUUACUGGGCGUAAAGCGCGCGUAGGUGGCUUGAUAAGCCGGUUGUGAAAGCCCCGGGCUCAACCUGGGAACGGCAUCCGGAACUGUCAAGCUAGAGUGCAGGAGAGGAAGGUAGAAUUCCCGGUGUAGCGGUGAAAUGCGUAGAGAUCGGGAGGAAUACCAGUGGCGAAGGCGGCCUUCUGGACUGACACUGACACUGAGGUGCGAAAGUGUGGGUAGCAAACAGGAUUAGAUACCCUGGUAGUC